CGGUUUAACACCGGCAGUCUCACCAGAGUCCUCAGCAUUACCUGUUAGCAACUGGCGAUAGGGGUUUCGCUCGUUAAGGGACUUAACCCGACACUUCACAGCACGAGCUGACGACAGCCAUGCAGCACCUGUGUAUGUUCCACUACAAGAGUGUCAUCCGCCUUUCAGCGGACUAAUCCAUACAUGUCAAACCCAGGAUAAGGUUCUUCGCGUUGCUUCGAAUUAAGCCACAUGCUCCACCGCUUGUGUGAGCCCCCGUCAAUUCCUUUGAGUUUUAGCCUUGCGACCGUACUCCCCAGGCGGUGCACUCAACGUUUUUACUUCGACCGAGAAUGGUGUCAGAACCUCCUCGAUCUAGUGCACAUCGUUUACAGCGUGGACUA
rnacentral:misc_RNA from 1 species